rnacentral:misc_RNA from 1 species
GAUGAAGAAGGUAGCGAAAUGCGAAAAGUAGUGUGAAUUGCAGAAUUCAGUGAAUCAUCGAAUCUUUGAACGCUCAUUGCGCCCCUUGGUAUUCCAUGGGGCAUGCCUGUUCGAGCGUCAUUUUGUACCCUCAAGCACUGCUUGGUGUUGGGCGUUUGUCCUGCAGAGGACUCGCCUGAAAGCGAUUGGCGGCCAACGUAGUCGUGGCAGAGCGCAGCACAAUCUCGCGUCUCUCCCCUCUGCGUCGGCGUCCAUGAAGCCCACAAUCUCAACGUUUGACCUCGGAUCAGGUAGGGAUACCCGCUGAACUUAAGCAUAUCAAUAAGCGGAGGA